GACGAACGCUGGCGGCGUGCUUAACACAUGCAAGUCGAACGGUAAGGCCCUUCGGGGUACACGAGUGGCGAACGGGUGAGUAACACGUGGGUGAUCUGCCCUGCACUUCGGGAUAAGCCUGGGAAACUGGGUCUAAUACCGGAUAGGACCACUGCCUGCAUGGGUGGUGGAAAGCUUUUGCGGUGUGGGAUGGGUCCGCGGCCUGUCAGCUUGUUGGUGGGGUGAUGGCCUACCACGGCGACGACGGGUGGCCGGCCUGAGAGGGUGACCGGCCACACUGGGACUGAGAUACGGCCCAGACUCCUGCGGGAGGCAGCAGUGGGGAAUAUGGCACAAUGGGGGCAAGCCUGAUGCAGCGACGCCGCGUGAGGGAUGACGGCCUUCGGGUUGUAAACCUCUUUCAGCACCGACGAAGCGCAAGUGACGGUAGGUGCAGAAGAAGGACCGGCCAACUACGUGCCAGCCGCCGCGGUAA
rnacentral:rRNA from 1 species